rnacentral:rRNA from 1 species
AACUAACGCUGGCGGCGUGCCUAAUACAUGCAAGUCGAGCGGGGUUGUCGGAGUGGAGUCCUUCGGGAUGAAGCACCGUCAACCUAGCGGCGGACGGGUGAGUAACGCGUGGGUAACCUGCCCUAAAGCCCGGGAUAACACCGGGAAACUGGUGCUAACACCGGAUACCUUCCGAAGAGGGCAUCCUUUUUGGAAGAAAGGUUAACGCUUUAGGAUGGGCCCGCGUCCCAUUAGCUAGUUGGUGAGGUAACGGCUCACCAAGGCAGUGAUGGGUAGCCGGCCUGAGAGGGUGAUCGGCCACACUGGAAUUGAGAGACGGUCCAGACUCCUACGGGAGGCAGCAGUGGGGAAUAUUGGGCAAUGGGCGAAAGCCUGACCCAGCAACGCCGCGUGAGGGAAGAAGGUUCUCGGAUUGUAAACCUCUGUCCCAAGAGAAGAGGGAAAGACGGUAUCUUGGGAGGAAGCCCCGGCUAACUACGUG